UGGUGCUCGAGAAGCUGAAGAGCCAGCAGC
rnacentral:piRNA from 1 species